CAAGCACAUCACUGCUCCUUCUCACUGCUAGUGUGGAUAAUGGAGAGAGUUCUUCUGAUAACAAACAACCAAACACCUCGGCCGCACUUGAUUCCUCCCAAACUGAAGCCAUUGAAACUGCACCGAGAAAGUCCAUUGACACUUUUGGACAGAGAACUUCAAUCUACCGGGAUUUAACAGGGUUUUUUUAUUUUAUAACCUAAACAAAGAUGUGUAUGAAUAUUUUUUUAUUUAGUUUAUGCAUAUAAAUUUGAGCUGUCACAAAUCUUUCACCACUGCUUCAUAUCUCAGUUAAAAAGUUCCUCUAGUAAAUGAAUUGUUGUUUUUUUAAAAAAAAAAAUUGUUAAAUGAUUAUGAAAUUAGGGUUUUUGACUUAAUUGAAGGCAUAGGUGGACAGGGAGGUACGAGGCUCACCUGUGGGAUAAUAGUUGUAGAAGAGAUGGACAAACUCGCAAAGGAAGGCAAGGUGGUUAUGAUAAAGAAGAAAAGGCAGCUAGAGCCUAAGAUUUGGCAGCACUAAAAUACAGGGGAACAACCACAACACCAAAUUUUUCACAGAUCUAUUAAGUUCAUGUGAUUUCUCCCCACAGUGCGUACAACUACAAGUAUUCCACAAGAAUAUUCUCAAAGCAAAAGUUCUCAUUCAAGUUUGUGGCACAGUCCUUUGGGGAUAAAUGGAAGCUGAAUGACAUGAGUACUAGUUCUAUCCAAGAAAGAUUGAAUGUAUUGAUGUCAAGGACCCAAAAUUUAUGGAAUGAAGUUACCUUUCCACUUGCAAAACCUGGUCAAACUAGGAAGCCUGAUCCUGAAAAUGAUUGUGGAUUUCAAGUUAUGGAAGACAUUUUAAUGAUAGAGCAGACAAUUGACCGUAGAACACCAUGUGGGGUUCUUUCUCUAGCUGCUGUGAUUUGUAUUGAACAAUUUAGCAGGGUGGUUCUUGCUAGCUAUGAGUGGAGUUAUGACUGAGAUACACAAGAAUAUAAUUUUCAAUCUAUCAUACUAAAGGUAUGUAAGCAGCUUUCCUAUUAGGACACAUUACUUUUAUUUUUUAUUUUUAGGUUUACUUAGGAGGUCUUAUAGGGAAAAACCUGAUUUAUUAUAAUUAUGUAUUAGGAAGUCAUUAGGCAUCUAUUUUGAUAUUAAUUUUGUAUUAGGCAGUUAUAAAUUAUGAUGUGAUAGUUAUAGUGAUAUAUAAGUAGUGUUGCAGAGUAAAAGGGAAAUAAGAUGUUAGAUUGUUAUUCCUUGUGUUUUGAAGGAGGAAAUUAUUUUAUAGGGGAAACCCUGUGUUUGUACUCAAAUCUAGCUUAAAAGCCAAAUAUUUAUAUCUUUAUUCAGAACUGAGUAUGUUUAUUUCUUGAGUACAACAAUGUCUCAAUGCCCACGAGCCUGAGAAGGAGGACGGGGGAGGGAAUGGCACCCCCUCCUCUGGUGGUCUUAGAGGCCAGGGAAUUUGCCAUGAGUUAUAAUGCUUCUGCUUCAUACUCCUCUCAUUUGCCCUUCAAUUUUCGAAUCCGUUACAUUGGAGGUUCACUUUUAGUUUUGAUGCUUCAAUUAUAUGGUAAAAAUCUUUGUAUUUUAUAGACUUUUCAUAUGGUACAGUUGCCUCAGUUGAGUAUUGCAGCAUAAAUAAAUGAUAUAAUUUGUUAGUUCCAUCUUUCCUUUUAUGGUUGUUCUACAGCAUGCUUAUUGCUUGAUACAAUUUCAGAACUGGUACUGAUAUUACUGCAGAGUGCGUGAAAAACAGAUAUCAUAUCAAAUUCCAGAGUUUCCUCAACUUUUUGAGGAGAGGAUUUUAUGCAUUGGUUCCAACUAAGAGACCUGUUCUGAAAUGGGAGAAUAAUAUGGCAUAGCCUGGCAAACUUACUCUUACUGAUAAAGCAAUCUAUUUUGAGUUGUACAUUGAAGGAUAUAUCCAAGCCAUGCGGGAUUCACUUUAUAGACAAGAAUACCUUAGAGUCAGAGUUAUUGACAAUCAGGAAAUAGUUGAGCUAAGUGCACAUAAGUUGGUCAGGGGUAGCUAAUAAAUUUGACUUGCCUUGCUGGCUGUGGAGGUAAAACCACAGAAAAAGUCUUUAUUUAUAUCAAAUCAGGUGUGAAAUUAUUGAUCGAUCUUUCUCAAUCACUUCAAUAGUUCAAGCUACUUUUGGUAUCUCCCGAGCUAUAUUUUGUAAAUAAUAUCAAACAAAACUCAUUUAAUAUAUGUUUAAUAAAUAUUUAAUAUCAUUAAUUAAUUAUAA